AAGUUACCAUAUUCGACUAGAUUGUAAGAGAGAGAACAGUGCGAAGUAGUGUUUCUCACGGUCCUAAUAGGUUUGGUUUUGAAAGACAUUGCAGAGUUACCUUUCAAGCACAUACCAAAGUAAGGUAAACAGCACACACGAUGGCAUCUGGUGCACGUUGGACUGCAGUGAGUUUGCUCAUCUUGUUGAUCAGCGUGUCUGUGAUGAUGGACCAGUCAACAGUCGACGCCCUAGCUGAAGACGAUGCAGCUCCGCUUGCCUGGGGUGGGUGGGGUGGGCUACCUGAUGAAGUCGCCGCUGGUCAAAAUCGACGGAGGAACAGACGGGCCGCUGAGGCUGCUGGUUGUGAAGGCGGAGAGGACGAAUCAGACGAAUCAAACAAAUCAAACCAAUAAAACAAACAAGGUUGUUUGAUGACAGUCCAUGAUCAGCCACAUGCUGACAGCGUGUUCAGCGCUCAACGGGCGAUAGUUAUAAAAUUCUAUGACAUAUCAAGAUAACUUAGACAUUAUGCAUAACCUUUUGAUCACUCAAGGCAAGGAGGAAAUGGUGUUUUGUUUCAACUUUUAGUCAUCAAAGGGAAGUUCAGACUGUUUUUGUUUUUGCAUCGGCCAGUUUUUAUUCGAGGGCCUGCGGCUAGGGCAUGCAUUAUAAACGGGAUUGCAUCGUCACAUCCAUUUUGUUAAAAAAAUGUUUUGCUGAGAGCGCGUCUAUUUUCAGGCCAGAACGCACUAUGUUUCUGAGUUCACAUCCUACCUAGAAAUUCAAAGAGAACCUAAAUCUUUUCAAGUUGUUUUUAAAUUUGAUCGUGCCGGUGUAGCGUGAAUAUCCGACUCCAUGAAAUGUGGACUCAUUGGUAG